GACGAACGCUGGCGGCGUGCCUAACACAUGCAAGUCGAACGGAGAGAUGCGAGCGUUUGCUCUUGUAAAUCUUCGUGGGACAGAGGUGAGUAACGCGGAAACAACCUGCCCAACGGAUGGGGACAACCGACGAAAAGGAGUGCUAAUCCGCAAAAGACUCCGACUUCGCAUGUAAACGACAGGAAAGGUGUUUUCUCUCAGUAGCUCACGCCGCCGGCGUGCUUUGCGUUUGUUGUGUUGGUUGGGGUGGUAAAGGCCGACCAAGACGAUGAUCCUUAGCCCGUCUGAGAGGAGGAACGGCCACACUGGAACUGAGACACGGUCCAGACGCCUACGGGAGGCAGCAGUGGGGAAUCGUCCGCAAUGGACGAAAGUCUGACGGAGCAACGCCGCGGGAGGGAAGAAGGGCUUCGGGUUGUAAAGAUCUGUUAUUCGGGAAGAACGAUGCGUUUGUAAAUAAUGAACGGAAGUGACGGUACCGAAAGAGAAAGCCACGGCUAACUACGUG
rnacentral:rRNA from 1 species